rnacentral:rRNA from 1 species
AUUGAACGCUGGCGGCAGGCCUAACACAUGCAAGUCGAGCGGAGCGGCGGACGGGUGUGUAAUGCCUAGGAAUCUGCCUGGUAGUGGGGGAUAACGUCCGGAAACGGGCGCUAAUACCGCAUACUAUCAGAUGAGCCUAGGUCGGAUUGGCUUGUUGGUGGGGUAAAGGCCUACCAAGGCGACGAUCCGUAUCUGGUCUGAGAGGAUGAUCAGUCACACUGGAACGAGGACACGGUCCCAACUCGUAAGGGAGGCAGGAGUGGGGAAUAUUGGACAAUGGGCGAAAGCCUAAUCCAGCCAUGCCGCGUGUGUGAAGAAGGUCUUCGGAUUGUAAAGCACUUUAAGUUGGGAGGCGUUACCAACAGAAUAAGCACCGGCUAACUUCGUGCCAGCAGCCGCGGUAAUAC